UACAGAGGAUGCAAGCGUUAUCCGGAAUGAUUGGGCGUAAAGCGUCUGUAGGUGGCUUUUUAAGUCCGCCGUCAAAUCCCAGGGCUCAACUCUGGACAGGCGGUGGAAACUACCAAGCUGGAGUACGGUAGGGGCAGAGGGAAUUUCCGGUGGAGCGGUGAAAUGCGUAGAGAUCGGGAGGAACACCAGUGGCGAAGGCGGUUGCCUGGGGCUUUGCUGACGCUGAUGCGCGAAAGCGUGGGGAGCAAACAGG
rnacentral:rRNA from 1 species